GGUGAUCUCACACGUGGCGGCCCUGCUGUGCUGUGCUGUGCACGCAAGGAGUGAAUCAAGGCUUGACAUGGCGUGGCAUAGGGCCAAGGAGGGGUGCAGGUUAACAUGUGGGGGACAUCUGGAGCAAGUUACCAAACAGCUACUAUGGAGCUACCCAGCUUCAACUAUGCACCUCUGUGAGACAAGAGAAAACCCGGCUUGCUGGUUCCUGCGGAAACACUGCAGACCUGAGACUGGGCCGUGAAAUUGGAGUGCCAGGCAGGCAUUAACCUGGCUAGGGAGCGGGUCCACUGCCAUGGAGUCCGCUAUGUUGAACCACUGUGUUUCUACAGCAGCCCAGAAGGUACAAACCAAACACUGGCUCUACAUAGGACUUUUUGCAUUUUUCAGGAGUUUCAUGGCCACUAUUGUUUCUCCUUCAUGCUGAGAGGGAGAGGUUACAGGUUUUCAUUUGGUUGCAAUCUGCAACUUGACCACUAAGUGU